rnacentral:sRNA from 1 species
GCUGGGCAUGGUGGCGCAUGCCUGUAAUCCCAGCUACUUGGGAGGCUGAGGCAGGAGAAUUGCUUGAACCCGGGAGGCAGAGGUUGCAGUGAGCUGAGAUCUUACCAUUGCACUCCAGCCUGGGUGACAGAGCAAGACUCUGUCUUGG